UACGGAGGAGGCAAGCGUUAUCCGGAAUUAUUGGGCGUAAAGCGUCCGUAGGUGGCUCUUCAAGUCUGCUGUCAAAGAGUGGGGCUUAACCCUGCAAAGGCAGUGGAAACUGAAAGGCUAGAGAGCCGUAGGGGUAGAGGGAAUUCCCGGUGUAGCGGUGAAAUGCGUAGAGAUCGGGAAGAACGCCAAGGGCGAAGGCACUCUGCUAGGCCUGAUUUCGCGACUGACACUCAGGGACGAGAGCCAGGGGAGCGAAUGGG
rnacentral:rRNA from 1 species